UGCCAGCCGCCGCGGUAAUACGAAGGGUGCAAGCGUUGUUCGGAUUUAUUGGGCGUAAAGCGCGCGCAGGCGGAUUUAUAAGUCAGGUGUGAAAUCUCGGGGCUCAACCCCGAAACUGCGCCUGAAACUGUAAAUCUAGAAUUUCAGAGGGGGAUGGGGAAUUUCACGUGUAGGGGUAAAAUCCGUAGAGAUGUGAAGGAACACCUGGGGCGAAGGCGCCAUCCUGGAUGAACAUUGACGCUGAGGCGCGAAAGCGUGGGUAGCAAACAGGAUUAGAUA
rnacentral:rRNA from 1 species